rnacentral:rRNA from 1 species
GUGCCAGCCGCCGCGGUAAUACCGGCAGCACAAGUGAUGGCCGAUCUUAUUGGGCCUAAAGCAUCCGUAGCUGGCCACGCAAGUCCAUCGGGAAAUCCACCUGCCCAACAGGUGGGCGCCCGGUAGAAACUGCGUGGCUUGGGACCGGAAGGCGCGACGGGUACGUCCGGGGUAGGAGUGAAAUCCCGUAAUCCUGGACGGACCGCCGAUGGCGAAAGCACGUCGCGAGAACGGAUCCGACAGUGAGGGACGAAAGCCAGGGUCUCGAACCGGAUUAGAAACCCUCGUAGUCC